rnacentral:rRNA from 1 species
UAGGGAAUUUUCCGCAAUGGGCGAAAGCCUGACGGAGCAACGCCGCGUGAGUGAUGAAGGUCUUCGGAUCGUAAAACUCUGUUAUUAGGGAAGAACAAAUGUGUAAGUAACUAUGCACGUCUUGACGGUACCUAAUCAGAAAGCCACGGCUAACUACGUGCCAGCAGCCGCGGUAAUACGUAGGUGGCAAGCGUUAUCCGGAAUUAUUGGGCGUAAAGCGCGCGUAGGCGGUUUUUUAAGUCUGAUGUGAAAGCCCACGGCUCAACCGUGGAGGGUCAUUGGAAACUGGAAAACUUGAGUGCAGAAGAGGAAAGUGGAAUUCCAUGUGUAGCGGUGAAAUGCGCAGAGAUAUGGAGGAACACCAGUGGCGAAGGCGACUUUCUGGUCUGUAACUGACGCUGAUGUGCGAAAGCGUGGGGAUCAAACAGG